GGGAAAACCCGAAUGGCUCAUNAUAUAAGGUAUCCUCACCGGACAGCACCCUUUUUCUUGGAUAACCGUGGUAAUUCUAAAGCGGGGACAUUCUAAAAAUCCCGACUCCCGAACGGAUGUAUUUAUUACACUAAAAGCCAAUGCCCUCUGGGCUCACAGGCGAUUCAUGAUAACUUCUCNAAUCGCAUGGCCUUGCGCCGGCGAUGGUUCAUUCAAAUUUCUUCCCUAUCAACUUUCGAUGCGAACGUCUUGUCUUCGCAUGGUUACAACGGGUAACGGAGGGUUAGGGCUCGACCCCCGAUAAGGAGCCUGAGAGACGGCUACUACAUCCAAGGAAGGCACCAUGCGCGCAAAUUACCCAAUCCCGACACGGGGAGGUAGAGACAAAAAAUACUGAUACAGGGCUCUUUUGGGUCUUGUAAUUGCAAUGAGUACAAUUUAAAUCCCUUAACGAGGAACAAUUGCACGGCAAGUCUGGUGCCAGCAGCCGCGGUAAUUCCAGCUCCAAUAGCGNAUAUCAAAUUUGUUGUGGUUAAAAAGCUCGUACUGAACCUUGGGCCUGGCUGGCCGGACCCCCUCACCGGGUGCACUGAUCCAGCCGGCCCUUUCCCUCUGUGGAACCCCAUGGCCUUCCCUGGGCUCGGCGGGGAACAAGGACUUUUACUUUGAAAAAAUUACAGUGCUCCAAGCAGGCCUACCUCCAAUACUUUAUCAUGGCAAUAUUACACUGGACCCGUGGUCUAUUCGGUUGGUUUCUACGACCCCCCGAACUGAUAAAAGGAACAGCCGGGGGCAUCAAGUAUUCAUUGCCAAAGGGGAAACCCUGCGACCUAUUGAAACUACUACCUGGUAAAACCUUUCCCAAGAUUUUUCCUUUCAACGGAACCAAAGUCGGGGAA
rnacentral:rRNA from 1 species